UUUCCUCAUUCUCCUCAAGAAUUUUUACCAUCAUAAAUUAUUAAUAAAUAUUUAAACCCAUCUGAUCUCCUUCAACCACAUAUUAAAUAAUUCAUCUCUCUUCUUUCUUUUUCUCUGCUCUUUAGGGUAAUACCAAUCAUUUUUUUUCAUUAUGUUCCUUUUUCUCUCCUCUUUCACCUGAGGAUCCCUUUGGAUCUCAACCAAUCUAUAUCUUUUCACAACUGAAAUUGGUGUUUUGAUCCAUAUGCUUUUGACAUCCAGGUAUGGUUCACUAUUAGAUCUGCACUCUCUACUAUUAUUCUUGCCUUCUCAUCAUCUUCUUUGUUCGAUUCAUCAAAUUUAUCAUGUUUUUUAUAAUGAAAAUUGAAAUUGUGAAUAUCAUAAUUUUACACUGGCUAUUUAAAUUAGUUUUUUGCAUCUAUUUUUUUAUUUAUUUACCCAUUAUCUAUAUCCUAUUUAUUGAGAAAAUUAUAGAAAAUGUAUUUUUAGAGUCUUGAAUGAAUGAACCAUUGUUUUUAUUUAAAUUUCCAAAAAAGUCAUCUAAUGGGAGAACUUAAAAAAACUUGUUGGUUAUUUCUUAUUUGUUUCUUUCUUGCUGAUGUUGGUGGUGGUGUUGGUGUUACAAAUAUUAAAACUGAUGAAUCAGUAUCGGUCUCCAAGCAAAUUCCCCAUCUGUUGCAACUAAUGAAUCAGCUAUUGGAAUACCCUUCUAUUGUAACAAACAAUCCACCUUUUGGAAGAAAUCAAACCAUUAGCAAGGCUUCUUUGAUUUCAUCAACAGAUGAUCCACCUGUUGCAACUGAUGGGUCAGCUAUUGCAACAGAUAAGUCACCUCUUGCAACAUAUGGGUCACCGGUUGCAACAGAUGGGUUUUUUGUGUUAUCCCUUUGUUGAAUUUUGUCUUACCCCUAUUUUAAAACUAUGAGGCAUCAAUUGUAAUGUUAUUUUUUUCUCUUGUUUAUAGAUAAAAGAUGUCUCCCAAAAAAAAGUGAAAGUGGAUCAACUUUUGCCCGACUAACAUAAAAGGCUAGAGUAAAGAUGGGUUUGGAGGAAUAAGCUGCUUGCAGGUAGAACCACUUCAUAUGUGGGAGGUAUGUAUUGCUGAUCAUGUUAUCGUGAAAACACACAUAGAGUACACUAAUUUUGUGAAUGAAGUUUUUUUAUAGAUUAGGCAUUAAUCAUUCAAACAAGAUAUUGCAUUUUACAUUUAAGAUUGAUAGGUUUGAACUGAUGAUGCCGAGGGAUCAAGUAGGUGGUGUCGAUACCCUGUUAUGAUUGAAUGAUGUUUUUUCUAAUACUUAUGUUUUAAGUUAGGAGAAGGGACCAAGUUUUUGGUGGCAAUGUAAAGAUUUAAUAGUGAUUGGACUAACUUUAAGGGUACAAUGAACUUUUUAAAGGACUCUGAAGCCUCACACUACUCUAACCAAGAAUGGAAAUCAAUAUAGUUAUUUCCCUGGUCCAAAUUUAUAUGGAUGGGUUGCUUGGAGUGAUGCUUAUAUAUUAAAAGUUGCUUGGGAGAAUAUCUGCGAGGUAAACAAGAGGUGUUGAAGACCAUAUAUUAACUCAGACCUUAUUAAAGAAGAAACACAAGGUAGAAAGAAACGUGUAGCGAGUCUGGCCAAUAAAAUUGACUUAAAAAAUUAAAAAACCAAAUGAGCUGAAAAAAUGGAAGUGUAUCCAAAAAUGAAAAUUCAUCAGUAGAUUUUGAAAAGAAAAAUAGUAAAGUAGUCUGGAGCUGUGCACUUUGCUUGGGAAUUGCAACUAGCUACCUGAGUGAUGACCCACAAAGCGUAGGAUCAGAACUCUAAGGUUGCAGCUUUGCGACCAUAAAGGGUGGUAUGAUUAUCGAUAAGGAACAAAAUUUGAGACAACAACUCCUAAAGUAAAAUUAAGGGAUCAAGCCAAGGUGGCCAUUUCUGAAGUUAAACUUGCAACCCAGGCCUUCUGCUUGUGGUUUUGGUCAGGUCAAAGGUAGUGGAAACAAUAAGGCAUGUGAUUUCUGCCCAACUUUAGACCUUUUUGUUUCUAUUGCUAUUGACCUAAUCAAAACCACAAACAAAAUGCAAGGGAUGCAACUUAAACUUUAGAAAUUGAUACCUUUUCUUUCCUUAUUUUUACUUCAGAAGUUGUUGGUCUAAGUUUCAUUCUUGAUUGAAAAUCUUACCAAUCCUUGGUGCUCGCCAAACUGCUUCCUUAGAGUUCUGAUCCUGCUCUUUGUGGAUCCUUAUUCAGGCCAUGCUUGCUAGUUGCAGUUCCCUAGCAAAGUGUCCAGCUCCAGUCCACUUUACGAUUUUUCUUUUUAACAACAACUGACGGAUUUUAAUUUUUGGAUAUACUUUCACAUUUGCAGCUCAUUCAGUUUUUCCAUCUUUCAAGUCCAUUUCAUUGGCCAGAUUGGCUAGAAGUUCCUUACUUGUUGCCCUAUGUUUCCUCUUAAACAAGGUCUGAGAUGAUAUAUGGUCUUGUCUACCUCCCCUUUCCAGGUAUUCUCCCAAGUACCUUCUAUUUUAUAAUAGUCUCCUCGAGCAACCCAUUCAUAUAAAUUUGGACUAGGGGAAUUUUUAUUGGUUUUCCAUUCUUGUUUGCUACAGUGGGAGGCUUUGAAUGUCUUCUCAAAGUCCGUUGCACUAUUAAAGUUAGUCCAAUCACUAUUUAAUAUGUACAAUGCCAUCAAAUAUUGAUACCUUCUCAGAACUUGACACCAAAACAUGAGCAAAACCGUUAUUAAAUUAUAAUAGGGGAUCGACACCGCUUUCUUGGAACCCUUCGGUCUUAUCAGUUCGCAGCUAUCAAACUUAACUAUAAAAUACAUAAUCUUGUUUGAAGGAUCAAUGUUUAAGUGGUAAAAAAUUAUAUUCACACAAUCAUUGUACAUUAUAUAUGUUGUCACGAUAACCUGGUUAGUAAUACAUAACUCUCACACAUGAAAGUAGAUCCAUCCAUUUGCACGCACCUUAUUCUUCCUACCCCAUCAAUGUCAAAGGGUGUUUAAUCUUCAGUUUCAUUGUGAAGUAGUGUACAAAUCUACAGAGGCUCAACGCGUAACCAUCUUGAAUGUCAAACGACUACAUACCCAUCAAGAAAAAACAAGUGAUACGUAUGUAAUGCACGAUGAUCGUUCUAAUAGUAAACGCAUGUUGUUGUUUGACAUGGAUUUUGAUAAUUUUAACUAAUUCUUGGGGAAUAUUAUUUAUUAUAUCAAAAAAAAAAUUAAUAACUUGUGCAUUCAUAAAAAGUGAUAACCAAAUAGGAACUAAAUACGACAAACUACAAAAAAUAUAUUCAGUUGAUUGCCCAUGUGUUCACCAGACUGCAUUACAUUCAACUAAUAGAUGACCAAUAUAUCACAACAGAUAGGUUAUCUAUCGAAAAAACCCAAAACACCCUUCUUGCAAUAGAUGGAACAUCUGUUGCACAGAUCUACUGGAAGAAUACAAUGUAGUUUUUGCCACUGGUUUGUGUUCUUCUAACAGAUGAGAAAUCUGUUUCAAUAGAUGGUUCAUCUGUUGGAAAAACUAACUACAAAUGACUAUUAAUAAAAAAAAAAGGUUAUUAAAAGGGAAAGGGUGAAAAGUCAUGACUUUUUAAUUAUUUAAAAAAUAAAAAUGGCUCAUAAAUAAAUAAUAAGAAAAUAACUAAUAAACACAAUUUAAAAUAGUAAAAAAAUGGUUAUUUAUUUUUAAUUAACUAAUGUAAGGUGAAAAGUCGUGACUUUUAACCUUUUUGUUUUUAAAUCUAUUUUUUUAAUUUACAUAAUGAAGAAGUCACCAGUUUGAAUUAAUUAAGGUAUAUGGAGAUUGUUAAAAAAGAUGGGGCCCAACAAAUGGUCCAUCUAUUGCAUCAGAUAACCUGUCUGUCACAACAAAUGGAUCAUCUGUUGUAUAGAUAGAUCAUUUAUUGCACAGAUAGACCAUUCAUUGCAAAAGAUGAAAAAAUUCUUGCCACAGAUGGGUUAUCUGAUGCAACAGAUGGACCAUCUGUUGCCACAGUUCUAUAAAAAUAAAUAUUAUUAAAAGAAAAAGUUAUUAAAAAGGUGAGAAGUAUUGUAUUAUUUAAUUGAGAAGAACGGUUAUUUAAUUUUAAAAACUAAUUAAUAUUAAGAAGCUGAAGAGUCUUAACUUGUCACAAUAAUCAAAAAGUCACCAGCUUGAUUUAAUUAAGUCAUAACUUUUCACAGAAAAUUAAAAAUCACCAGUUUGAAUGUAAUUAAUAAAAUGGAGGUGAACAGUCGUGCCUUUUUUUCAAACACAUUCAAAUUCAAUCCUCUAUAAAUAGGUCUCUCCUUACUCGUUCAUUCUACUACACUUUAUUUAUUUCUUGCAUUUUGUCUUUCGUAUUACAUCUUCAAUCAUUUCUCUUAAAAUACUAAAUUCAUUUCUUGUUGAGGUAAGUUUUGUGUGUGUGUGUAAAUCUACCAGUUGGUAGUAUACAUUGUAUUACAUUCAGACUCUUUACUUUUGUGUUUACAUUUUUUAUCAACGCAUACGUGUUCUAUAUAUGGUUGAUCAUGUUUAUGACAUUGUUAUUCUGCGCGACAUCAUUCAGGAACUUUAGAGGCAAGUUAAUGACCUGCAGUGGGAGUUGGGCAUCGUGAGAGCAAGGAUGCUUCGAGAGAUUCGCAGGCAAAGGAGGGCCCUGCUGCUGUCAGUUAAUGAUUGGUCGGUUGAGAAUAAUAAUAAUAAUAAUAAUAAUAAUAAUAAUAAUUAAAUAAUAAUAAUAAUAAGGUUUUGUUUUUCUUUUAACAUAUGUAUUUUUAUUUUUCUAUAUCGAAUCUACCUACCUAAUGUAUUUUGUUUUUGUUUAAUGAAAAAUUUAUGUUUG
rnacentral:lncRNA from 1 species